CCUACGGGAGGCAGCAGUGGGGAAUAUUGGGCAAUGGGCGAAAGCCUGACCCAGCAACGCCGCGUGAAGGAAGAAGGCUUUCGGGGUGUAAACUUCUUUUUACAGGGAAGAGCAGAAGACGGUACCUGUCGAAUAAGCCACGGCUAACUACGUGCCAGCAGCCGAGGUAAUACGUAGGUGGCAAGCGUUGUCCGGAUUUACUUGGUGUAAAGGGCGUGUAGCCGGGCUGACCAGUCAGAUGGGAAAUCCGGGGGCUCAACCCCCGAACUGCAUUUGAAACUGUUGGUCUUGAGUAUCGGAGAGGCAGGCGGAAUUCCUAGUGUAGCGGUGAAAUGCGUAGAUAUUAGGAGGAACACCAGUGGCGAAGGCGGCCUACUGGACGGUGACUGACGCUGAGGCUCGAAAGCGUGGGGAGCAAACAGGAUUAGAUACCCGUGUAGUC
rnacentral:rRNA from 1 species